AGUGAACGCUGGCGGUAGGCCUAACACAUGCAAGUCGAACGGCAGCACAGUAAGAGCUUGCUCUUACGGGUGGCGAGUGGCGGACGGGUGAGGAAUACAUCGGAAUCUACUUUUUCGUGGGGGAUAACGUAGGGAAACUUACGCUAAUACCGCAUACGACCUACGGGGGAAAGCAGUGGAUCUUCGGACCUUGCGCGAUUGAAUGAGCCGAUGUCGGAUUAGCUAGUUGGCGGGGUAAAGGCCCACCAAGGCGACGAUCCGUAGCUGGUCUGAGAGGAUGAUCAGCCACACUGGAACUGAGACACGGUCCAGACUACUACGGGAGGCAGCAGUGGGGAAUAUUGGACAAUGGGCGCAAGCAUGAUCCAGCCAUACCGCGUGGGUGAAGAAGGCCUUCGGGUUGUAAAGCCCUUUUGUUGGGAAAGAAAAGCAGCAGGUUAAUACCCCGCUGUUCUGACGGUACCCAAAGAAUAAGCACCGGCUAACUUCGUG
rnacentral:rRNA from 1 species